CCUGCCUCUAGAGGCAUUGCAGGUGUGGCUGCUGUGUCACUGUUGUCAGAGGGUGGCAGAGGGGAGAGAGGCUAUGUCUUCGUUCAGUGUUCUAACCUGUGAACAUCUGAAUAAUUAAUACCUUAACAUC